GACACCAAUUUUUACGAUUGAUUUGCUCUGCUCGCCAACAAGUUGCUUUAGGACAGGUCAACAUUUGUGACUAAAAUGGCAAGCGGUGGAGACGUUCCUUUGAGCCAGAAAUUGAAACGAUUGCAGGAUGAAAACUCAAAGAUGGAAGAACGUCAUCAAAGGCAGGAAGAAAUUAUUAAAGAUAUGAAGGAUGAAAAAUUGAGGCAGGAAGAAACUAUUAAAGAUAUGAAGGAUGAAAAAUUGAGG